rnacentral:lncRNA from 1 species
AAGAAUGUGAAAAUAGUUUUGUUACACUGAAGUAUCGCCUCACCUCUACUCUAAUAUUGAUCCUCCCUGAUUGUACUAGAUGAUUUAAGUUUUUUGUUAUGCAUCUUACGUAGGUUUGGGAUGCAUUUUAAUGCAACACAGUCAGGUAGUCGCUUAUGGACCUAAAUAGCUGAAACCCUAUAAAUGUAAUUACCCCACACACGACCUAGAG